UACGUAGGGGGCAAGCGUUAUCCGGAUUUACUGGGUGUAAAGGGAGCGUAGACGGCAGCGCAAGUCUGGAGUGAAAUGCCGGGGCCCAACCCCGGAACUGCUCUGGAAACUGUGAAGCUGGAGUGCAGGAGAGGUAAGCGGAAUUCCUGGUGUAGCGGUGAAAUGCGUAGAGAUCGGGAGGAACACCAGUGGCGAAGGCGGCCUACUGGGCUCUAACUGACGCUGAGGCACGAAAGCGUGGGUAGCAAACAGG
rnacentral:rRNA from 1 species